AAUCCUACGGGAGGCAGCAGUGGGGAAUAUUGCACAAUGGGGGAAACCCUGAUGCAGCGACGCCGCGUGAGUGAAGAAGUAUCUCGGUACGUAAAGCUCUAUCAGCAGGGAAGAAAAAAAGUCCUUUGGACUUUGGACGGUACCUGACGAAUAAGCCACGGCUAACUACGUGCCAGCAGCCGCGGUAAUACGUAGGUGGCAAGCGUUAUCCGGAUUUACUGGGUGUAAAGGGCGUGUAGGCGGGGAAGCAAGUCAGAUGUGAAAACCACGGGCUCAACCUGUGGCCUGCAUUUGAAACUGUUUUU
rnacentral:rRNA from 1 species